rnacentral:rRNA from 1 species
GUGUCAGCAGCCGCGGUAAUACCGGCAGCCCGAGUGAUGGCCGAUUUUAUUGGGCCUAAAGCGACCGUAGCUGGCCGCGCAAGUCUAUCAGUAAAUCCACCCGCUCAACGGGUGGGCGUCCGGUAGAAACUGCGUGGCUUGGGACCGGAAGGCGCGACGGGUACGUCCGGGGUAGGAGUGAAAUCCCGUAAUCCUGGACGGACCGCCGAUGGCGAAAGCACGUCGCGAGGACGGAUCCGACAGUGAGGGACGAAAGCCAGGGUCUCGAACCGGAUUAGAAACCCCUGUAGUCC